CCUACGGGUGGCAGCAGUGGGGAAUAUUGGACAAUGGGGGGAACCCUGAUCCAGCCAUGCCGCGUGUGUGAAGAAGGCCCUCGGGUUGUAAAGCACUUUCAGUGAGGAAGAACGCCUGGUGGUUAAUACCCAUCAGGAAAGACAUCACUCACAGAAGAAGCACCGGCUAACUCCGUGCCAGCAGCCGCGGUAAUACGGAGGGUGCGAGCGUUAAUCGGAAUUACUGGGCGUAAAGCGCGCGUAGGUGGCUUGAUAAGCCGGUUGUGAAAGCCCCGGGCUCAACCUGGGAACGGCAUCCGGAACUGUCCAGCUAGAGUGCAGGAGAGGUAGGUAGAAUUCCCGGUGUAGCGGUGAAAUGCGUAGAGAUCGGGAGGAAUACCAGUGGCGAAGGCGGCCUUCUGGACUGACACUGACACUGAGGUGCGAAAGCGUGGGUAGCAAACAGGAUUAGAUACCCUUGUAGUC
rnacentral:rRNA from 1 species